rnacentral:rRNA from 1 species
UAGGGAAUCUUCGGCAAUGGGGGCAACCCUGACCGAGCAACGCCGCGUGAGUGAAGAAGGUUUUCGGAUCGUAAAGCUCUGUUGUAAGUCAAGAACGAGUGUGAGAGUGGAAAGUUCACACUGUGACGGUAGCUUACCAGAAAGGGACGGCUAACUACGUGCCAGCAGCCGCGGUAAUACGUAGGUCCCGAGCGUUGUCCGGAUUUAUUGGGCGUAAAGCGAGCGCAGGCGGUUUGAUAAGUCUGAAGUUAAAGGCUGUGGCUCAACCAUAGUUCGCUUUGGAAACUGUCAAACUUGAGUGCAGAAGGGGAGAGUGGAAUUCCAUGUGUAGCGGUGAAAUGCGUAGAUAUAUAGAGGAACACCGGUGGCGAAAGCGGCUCUCUGGUCUGUAACUGACGCUGAGGCUCGAAAGCGUGGGGAGCGAACAGGAUUAGAUACCCUGGUAGUCCACGCCGUAAACGAUGAGUGCUAGGUGUUGGAUCCUUUCCGGGAUUCAGUGCCGCAGCUAACGCAUUAAGCACUCCGCCUGGGGAGUACGACCGCAAGGUUG